rnacentral:rRNA from 1 species
GUGGGGAAUUUUGCGCAAUGGGGGAAACCCUGACGCAGCAACGCCGCGUGAGUGAUGAAGGCUUUCGGAUCGUAAAGCUCUUUCGUUAGGGACGAACGUGCUCUUUGUGAAUAAUGAGGAGUAAUGACGGUACCUAAAUAAGAAGCCACGGCUAACUACGUGCCAGCAGCCGCGGUAAUACGUAGGUGGCAAGCGUUGUCCGGAAUUAUUGGGCGUAAAGCGCGCGCAGGCGGGAUAUCAAGUCUGUCUUAAAAGUGCGAGGCUCAACCUCGUGAGGGGACAGAAACUGGUAUUCUUGAGUGUCGGAGAGGAAAGUGGAAUUCCAAGUGUAGCGGUGAAAUGCGUAGAGAUUUGGAAGAACACCAGUGGCGAAGGCGACUUUCUGGACGAUGUCUGACGCUGAGGCGCGAAAGCUAGGGGAGCGAACGGGAUUAGAUACCCUGGUAGUCC